CAGCAACUGGACUCUAUGCACAGAGAGGAGGAUGAAGACACCCAGCCAUGGAUUUUUAGUAGCACUCACUCAAGGAAAAAGAGACCUCAACACGCCAAUGGAUGCAGCCAGCCUCCAACUCACCACGCACCUGCACCAACUUGAUGUAGGGAGAGGAGGAGUGAGGCUUCUCUCACGGGAUGACGCCCAGCCAUGGGGCAGCAGCAAUCCAAGAUUGCUGUCAAAAUAAGCCUAAAUUCAGAGUCUUCGGAAGUCAAUUACUUUGAGCCUUUGAGUUAGGAGGUA